GUGAAAAGAGCUCUUGGUCCACCAUCACAACUUCAGAUUUUGAAUGGCCUAAAAGAAAAGCAAUUGUUGGUGCAUUCAGACGUAUAUUGACACAAUUAACCACAGCUCCAGCCAUUGGAACUCCAAAGUGUGCUUCGUACAUAGCAGGGAUAUUUGGUGCAAUUAUUGCUACCGUGCUACCGGUGCCGACGGAAUGCUUGGAUAGAGCGGAAGCCAAUCGGCGGCAUCGCUUGUUGGUCUGGAACCAAGUGUAGCGUACGGAUCCAUGCAGAAGCGAUGUUCUGGUUGGGUGAAUCGUGGCUGCUCUAUCGAGGAACCACAGUGGCGUCAAGGCAGUGUAGUUGGCUGCGUUUUUCGGCAGGUCAUCGAUAUCUCUCUCCAUUUUUG
rnacentral:misc_RNA from 1 species